AUAUUUUAGCACAAAUAUUCAGCCUUAAAAAAACUAGCAGAAUCUAAGUUUAAUAUGAAAAUAGCUGUAUGUAAUUCAAAUACCAUGGAUCCGUGAAAUUAGGCACAAACAUAGCAAAGCAACUCAAACUUUCAUUCAUAAUACAACAAAGUAUCUGAGGCAAACAUUUACAUACAUAAUUGCAGUGAAAUCAAUCGAAGCAAUGAUCAAAUAAAGGUCUAAAUGGAUGAAUGAACUCGGCAACACAGAGGCACCAUAAACAACAUCUUUUUCAUCUCACGAAGCAACCCAGAUGUAUAUCUUGUCACGAUUUGCAACUAAUACUCAUGGGUAGAAUUUGUGAUAGAAGAUUGAAAAUUUUGAGGACUAUAUGAUUUGGUGAACAGGACGAUGAAGGAAGAACAUCUGCUGAAUUUUCAGCUUACAUGCGCUUCAAAUCAAUACUGGUGCGAAGGAAGUAAGCUUUAACAUGAAUUUUUCCAAUUUCCUCAUCACCAUCGAGCCUAUGGGGGUUGUUUUGGGUAAUGUUUUAUGGUGGUUUGGGAAGGAGAUGGAGCUGUUUUUUGUGGUGCUCUAAUGGCUGAACAUGGAGGGGGUGCGUCGUUUCUCUAGUUUCUUUCAAGGGGAGGGUCUAGGUGUGUAAGGCUUGAAGAAGAAAAAGCAAUAGCUGGUUUGGUGGUGUGCUGAAGAAGCAGUAGCAGCUGGAGAGUUUUGGCGUUGGCUGCUGAAAAUGGGAAGAAGAAGAAGGUCCAGGGGUCCUUAGGUUAGAAAUGGGGGAAUCCGCUGUUUCCCUUUUGGGUCUAAGGGAUCUGAUCCUCGUCUCUGUAGCUAGGUUUUUCUUAGUCUAGAAGAGAGAAGGGAUAUGGUUAUUCUAAUGUAGGGAAAACCGGUUGAGCCUGGG
rnacentral:lncRNA from 1 species